AAGAUUUUAAGUUAAAAAAAACUAAUAUCCUUCAAAGUUAUAAAUAAAGAAAUUUAUCUUUAAGUCUUA
rnacentral:tRNA from 1 species